UCAUUUCCUCACCAAUUAUGUAUUGCAAAAGCAUAACGUGGAUGUGGACUUGAUA
rnacentral:pre_miRNA from 1 species